rnacentral:lncRNA from 1 species
AUCGUAGCUAGUACACGUCGUUUCUCAAAGUUACCACGUCCAACGUAAAACGAUCUUAGUAUACACUUAUACACGCACAUAAUAUCACGGCACUCUCAUCAUUUAUAAUCUCUCACAAACUGGGACACGGCUCCUUAGUCCCUUAUUGAAUUUUAAAUAAAAUACAGAACUUAAGGCACACACACAUUUUAUUCCUCGGACAAGAGAUGUUCGUCAAUCUCUUUGGACAUUUCGACCCAUAACUGGAGGAGAGUCUCGGGAUGAGCAACCUCCUCGCUAAUUUUCUCGUACUCAAAGUGCCAGUGCACAAUACUCCCUGUCCCACCAUGCUUAGGGGUCACCUGGAUCGUGGCCAAGAAGCUUUUGUACUCUUUCAUCAGAUCACCUUCUAUAACCCUAAACGAGAUCAGGUUCUUCUCCGGAUCCACCUCUUCGAUCCUCUCCUUUGCCACCUUUGCCUCUCCAUCUGCAACAGUUAUUAGUAGUUAAUGUUUAAGUUUUGAGAAUCGACAGAAAUAGUCAUUGCAAAAAUCUUACAAAAAUAGUCAUUGCAACAGUUAUAUAUUAGUAGUUAAUGUUUAAGUUUUGAGUUUUGCCUGCCUCUCCUCUCGUCUCUUGUUAGUCAUUGCAAAAAUCUUACAAGGCCUCUACAUUCUCAAAAUUUUAAUUUAAGUAAAAUUAUAUAGAAUAGCGUUAACUUGCCAUGAAAGUAGUUCCAGAAGAUGAUAGAGCCGGGUUUGCCCCAAUCUCCCUCGUGCAAUUCACAGUUCUGAAUGUUGCCUGGAGAUACUUUGGAAACAUGGUGCGGUUUCGCGGUGAACAUGUGAUGAAACUUCUCAGCGGAAGCUUUGAUCUCCACGUAUGCCUCAACCAUCCCCAACAAGCUAGACGUCUCUGUUGUCUUCACCUCCUCUUCUGCCUGUUUAUUUGUGGCCUCAACCUUUUUAGGAGGACAUGCCACCGCCACCUUGGUCUCCGCUUCUUCGGCGCUUGUAGUCUCCACCGUCAUAGUUGGUGCCACGGUCACCGGCGUCUCCACCUUUUCCUCCAUUUCUUGGUAGUUUCAGUAGCAACCCCGCCCUUCUGUCCCUUGCUGAUUUGGUUAGAAAAUUAGAGGUUUUAUGAGAGUGUGCUAUUCUUUUUAUGAGUGAGUUCUCUUUGGAAUUCUAUACCCCUUUAUAUAGAGGAAUGAGUAGGAAACUAUCGAAGAAAAAUACACAUUUUUUUUGUGACCAAAAACCAUCAUUCAUUAUGACCAUUAUUUUCAUUAAAUUUUUUCACCUACUCUUUUCAAUGCGUGUCUAGAUUUUCUUUUGUAAAUAUUCACAUACUUAUAUUAAAUGCCCAAGGGUUAGGCGAUCGUCAUUAAUACAAUUUUAUCUGCCAAAGCUCUCUUUGCUAAUUCAUAUGCUUCAUUGUUCCUCACACGAGAGAUCCAACGAAACAAGAUAAACUCAAAGGAAGAUGCAGUAGAUUUGAUAUCGGCUACAAUGCCAUAGAUUUCCGCACUUGCGUCAGCUUGGAUGAGCUGAGAAGAAUCCGAUUCGAACACAUAUCAAUAAAUCACAAAGCAGAAUGCUUAAUUUAUUUAUCAAACACUUAUGAUUUCAUUAUUAAACAAACAUUUCACACAUCAAUUUUGAGUAGCUUCAUAGCUGAUGCUGCUACACUUAGCUUCUCAAAAAUAACAACUUCCAAACACUCAUGACACAUAUCUCUUUACAAACUCGGACAAGGCGGCUCCUGGGUCCUUAUUUAUAGCAAAUUCAAAGACUGGACUUUAAGGCAAACACACAAAUAGAAGUAUGGAUAUAUAGAAUUGAAAGAAGAAAAUUAUUCUUCUAUUCUUCGGACAUGAGAUGUGCAUCGAUCUCUUUGGAGACCUCGACGGCAAACUGGAGGAGAGUCUCAGGGUGAGCCACCUGCUCAUUAAUUUUCUCGUACUCAAAGUGCCAAUGUAAAACGCUUCCAGGUUCUCCUUCCUUAGGAGUCACUUGAAAGGUGACCACGAAACUCUUGUACUCGUUCAUUAAAUCACCCUCUAACACCCUGUACGUGGCCCGAUUGUUCUCCGGGUCUAUUGACUCGAUCCUCUCUUUCAUUACUCUUGCCUCCCCAUCUGAUCAUAUAUAACACAUUGACACAUAAUUAUCGGUUUGAGAUUGUUUGAAAUCUUGCAUCUGAACAAGAUCAGACAUAAUGUGUAAAAUAAUAUAUAAGGAUGGAUCAAUCCACCCGUUUCAAAUUGGUUUCCUUCAAAAGUUGAUAUAUUUUAAUAUAGAUUCGCUGUGCAUGUAUUCACAUAAUUAGAUAAUUAUAACGCUGACUUGCCAUGAAAGUAAUUCCAGGUUACGAUAGAACCAACUUGGCCAAUCUCGCCUUCAUGCAGCUCACAGCCAUGAACUAAGGAUGGAGAAGCACUGGGGAUAUGGUGCUUUUUCCCGACAAGCAUGUCAUGCAACUUCUCCGGCGUAGAUUUUACCUCUACGGUUGUCUCAAUGAUCCCGACCAAACUUGAUGCUUCUUCUGCCAUUCUUGAUCUUUCGAUAAUUUGCAAAUGUGUCUUUUGGAUUUUGCGUUUUGAGAAUGAAUGUGUUCCCUUCUAAGCUCUUCACACUCCCUUUAAAUAGAAGAACGAAUAAAGCGAGAAAUACACUGGAAUUUAUUUUAUUACUUUAUAAAUUUGAUUAGUUCUUUCUUCUCUUUGAUCACAUCAACCCAUCUGGCGCUAAUUGAUAAGACUGGAUUAUAAGAUAAUUUAUUUAAAAAAACUGUAAACGGUAAAGCUAUAUAAAAUACGUUCGUAGCUCGUGUCAUACAUAAUAUUUUGAAUAAGUAUUAUUAGUGGGAAAGCAGUUAGUUUAGUGAGUCUUAAGAAAAUAAGAUAAAACGAGGUGGUUUAGGGUUUCAUAAAUCAUGAACCAUAUGGGGGUUUGUAAACAUUUUCAUUCUUCUGCAUUAAAUAUGAAAGCCUUUGUUUCAAAAAAAAAAAAAACUAAGGGAUUACGAAGUGCAACCAUCGGUUUGCAUCUACAAUAUACACUGUUUGUGUCAAUUUAAUUAGACAUAAAUCAUAAUUCGGAGCUUGGAAGAGUACUUUCAAGAUAACCUAAGAAAACUCCGGCUCAACACUGUUAAGGGUUUUAGGGCAAACAUUUUUUUUUACUCUUUAAAAUUUAUAUGCAGAUAAUGUUUAAAAUAUUUUUAAAAUUUAAUCAGUAAUAUUUUAUAAUAAAAAUAAAAGUAUAUACAUAUCAAAUAAUUUUAGACCCUUUUCAAUUUUUGUUAUAUAUAAAAAUACAAAUUUAUAAAAAAUUUGACCCCUUAAUUAUUAUGAUACGGAGGACACGGACUUGUACCUGGGACGGUUGCACUGGUUGUUCCCCAAGUAAACCGGCCCUGCGUGUAUAUAUAUAUAUAUAAUAUGUAUGUAAUUGUAGAAUAUAUUUUACGGCAGAACCUCUCCAUUGAAGGUGCUUUAAAAAUGGUAUAGCGUGGAUGUGACUGAAACUAUAUUUAAAAAAAAAAUCAUUCAAGUUAUUCGAUGACUCAAUUCAUUUCAGUUUUAAAUUGAUAUAUAUUUUUUUUUUUUACUUUUUUUGAAAAAUUCUUUAAAUUGAUAAAUUUUUUGAAAAGUUCUUACUCCGAAAAUAUAAAGAUUUUUUUUGUCCAUAUAGAAUUCAUAUAUCUGGAUAAUCCCUAAAUAAUCUUCCUUUUGUCAAUCCUACAAGAUCAUAUCUUUUGUAAAGGGGUACACGUUAUUACAUAUUUUUAAAAGAUAAACUAGAUUUUGACCCGCGCUUUUCAAGCGCGGGGUUGUUGGAUUAUAUUAUAAUACAAAAUUUUAUUAUAUCGAAAAACAUAAUUUUUAACAGCUAUAUAAUCUACAAAUUAGUUUAUUUGAGAUUUUAUAUGUACACUUUUACGUAAGUUUCUUUUCGACAUGAGAAUUAUAUCCGGAUCAAAAAACAAACCGAACAGACCCAAAAUUAUAGGUUUAGUUUAGGUUCAGAGAAGAUAACCUAUUGGGUUUUUUUGACCCGCAGGUCUUUGUUUGAGUCUGGGUCCUACCCUAGACCCGAUCAUAAAUAUGUGUUUAUUAGGUAUAUUUGGAUAUUCCGAAUAUGUUUCCGGUAUUAUGGAUAUUGUUUUUAAGUUUUUGGUUUACGAUUAGAGUUUUGAUUUCAGGUAAAUUUUUCAAAUUAAAAAAAAAAAUUGGGUAUUUGGAUAAAAUUUUGGGUAUUUUUCAGUUCAUCGUGUCAGAUUUUGAAUAAGAUUUUAAAUUUUUAGGUAUUUGAAUUUUUUUGGUAUUUGUUUGGAGUUUCAAAUACUUUUCGUGUUUCAGAUUUUUUCAGAUUUUUCAUAUAUUUCAAAUUCUUUUAGGAUCUUAAAUACCCGAACAGAUGUGGAACCAUUACAUCCAUAUCAGGUCCAACAACCUUUUGAUAUAGAUUUUUAACGUUAUUAUACAAAAACAUGGUUGAUGAAAUAUUUUUCUGUGUAAAGGUAUCAUAAGAAAUAAUAUUAAGAUCUGUUAAAAAUAUUUAAAAUAUUGUAUGUUUAGAAUGAUUAAUGUAUUAUAAGAAAAAUAAUAAAUAGUUAUACAUAACUCCAACAACUUUUUUAUAUUAGAUUUUUUAAAAUUGUUUCCUUUUUAAUAGUAUUGAUUCAUUUUAAGUGAAAAGUAUAUAAAAGUAUAAUAUCUAAAUAAAUAAUUUUCAAAAUCUUGAAUAAUCAGUACUGAUAUCGUGAAGUCAUGUUAACUUUAAUAGAACCAAUGAAUUUCUUUAUUUUUGUGAAGGUAACAUGAAUAUUCAGAAAAAUCAUUUUUAAAUAUAAAUAUAUUAUCAAACUAUAGACGGUUGAAAGUUUAGUAUAUGAUAUGAGAUUUUAGUGGGAAAGUUUAUAUAUGAUGUUAUUACUUUAUUAUAAACGAAAGAAGAAGUUAGAAUGUACUCAUAUAUGUCUUGUAAUUUAUCUUGCUUUAAAUCAUAUAUUAUAUGAUAAAAGUGAUGAUAUAAGACAUUAGUUUCAAUGCUUUACGAUUAAAAAUCAAAAUGAUAAAUAUAGUAAUAGUAGUGAUUAGGAUUAGGAUUUAGGAGUGAUAUUUAAAUAAAUAAAAGAAUUGACUAAAUUAUUGUUAGAGAAAUAUAUGGUAACAUAUUGUUAGUAUAAAUUUAAGGUAAGACCAAAAAAUAAUAAGUUAAAUGAAAGGGUCCAAACAACUUUUAUAGGUAGAUUUUUUUAGACUCCUUCCCUUGUAAUAGUAUUGAUAAGCAUUAUUAUAAAUUGAGAAAGAUUGUUUAUCCCGCAGCUGCAUCUCUUGAAAAGGAACAGAAACCUUUUUUUUUCGGUCAAAAUUCAGAAUUUAAAAUAUCUCCCGUUCUGUCUAUAGUAAGGUCCAAAUUUGUUUUUAAUAUGUUUGUUCACUAACCAAUAGGUCAUAGCUGUUUUGACUUUUGAUCAAAUAUAUACAUCAAUCGUCAUUAUUGUAAAUUAUAUAUGUUUGGUAUGACAUAAAAUAAUGUCUACUAGGCAACGUGUGGACAAUUUGAUAAAGUUUGAUAAAGUCACAAUCCGAUACUUCUUUCAAAAAAAAGUCACAAUCGGAUAUUGAUUUUAAUUAAUCAAUUUUGUAAAGUCUAUGGAGAAUUUGAUAUUAAUCAAAUCACAAUAUAUUUUUUGUUCAUUUUGAUUAGGCCUAAUUUUGAUGGAUCAUGUUUUAGUGAGGCUACUAAAGAUUUUAUGCUCAGGUAUAGAACUUCAAAUUAUCAAUUAUAGAGUCACUUAGAUAUGAUGUGCGUUGUAUGAGGCUAUACCAUAGGAAUUGAUUAUGAAUAUUAUAUAAUUUGAGAUAUACAAAUUUAACUAUUAAUGAAGUAUUUUUUUGUGUAUGUAUCACAUGAGAAAACGUAUGUUAGUUAUAGAAUAUGCGGUACUGGAUAUGGAGUAGAGGAUAAAUGAAUGACUGUAUUAUUAUUUAUGAAUCAUUGAAAAAGUUGUAGCACUAAAAACAUCCAAGGAUUCAGAUAAAUAAAUGUGACUAAGAAGUUGCUUGGAUAAUUAACCAAAUGAUUUUGAUAAGUACAUCUUCAUCUCAUGUUACUCUCUGACCAUCUCAAAGUUAAACAAAUACAUUUCUCAACCAAAUCAUUUCUUACGUCAAACCAAUCAAAGUUAGCCAGUUUAGCAUUAUUAAUCUUAUUGUUCAUAAAUCAUCAGGACGAUCCAUCAAAAACCAUAAUUCACACAUUGCUUACAUAGAAGCAACCCCUAUAAACAAAGCAAUAACAGUAAUUAUGCUAUACUAGUUAACUUUUGAUCAAUGGCACGGCCGCACGGGUUCGUCAAUGGUUUGAACGAUAACAGUUUGAGCAUUCCUCUAAAUUUAAUUAUAAGCAUGACUGAUUUUAAUUUUUCAAAUAUACUACAUAAUCCAUUAAGAAAAACUCCUUCCUACAUCCUCAAGUAGAUCUAAUAUGUUAAUUAGACUAGACAAAAUAACAAUCUGAUAGUAUAUAGGCUUUAUAUCCUUCAUAAAAAAGUUAUGUUAAUAAAAUAUAACGGUGGGUGCUAUGUUAUUUUGUUUGUUAACUUAGAGCAUGAGUAAUAAAGAUUUUUAGAGUGAGGUUCUUAGUAUAAUAUAGCUAUACGGACUCUUAGUUUUUUUAGUUAAAAACUAAGAUACGUUUCUUAUAUUUUUUAUUUAAAAGAGGUUUUUUAGUUUUCUUAUUAUACUCCCAGAGACCGAUCGCCCACGAACCUAUCAGGAUCCCAGACAGUCGAUUCUGUCUCUUCCCCACUCAUGGCCGAAGCAAUUGCGAUCCGUAACGGGAUCGAGAGGAUGAUCCAAUCAGACAUCCGCUCAACAACAAUCUUCUCGGACUGCUCAACGCUCAUCAGAGCAAUCGUCAGCAAAAGCCAGAUUACAGAGAUCUAUGGUGUCCUACAGGAUAUCCAUCAUCUCUCAUCGCUGUUUGCUUCUAUCAACUUUCAGUUCAUCUCCCGUUCCCAGAACGGAGAAGCUGACUUUCUAGCAAAACGGGCCCUUAAGGCCCAUAAUCCUUCUGCUUCUGUUGUUUAGCUAUUGCCUUCGGGCCCAAACUCUUCCUGCUUUGCUUUAAUUUAUAAAAUCUCGUUGCUCAAAAAAAAAAAAAAUUAUACUCCCAGUUAACUGUAAGGUACAACCGUACAAGUGUACAACUAAAAAAUAAGGUAUCUUUCUUUCUAUUCCCCUUCUUCCCGUUUAACUUUCAUCACGACUCGGUUGUUAUUCCUCGGCGCAGUCCCUUCUUAUCUUCAUCAAAUCACGAAGCAUGAUGCUUAAUUUAUUAAUUAAACAUAUAUGCUUUUAUUAUUAACAAACAUUUCAUACAUCAAUUUCGAGUAGCUUCACAGCUAAUGCUGCUACACUUAGCUUCUCCAAAGUAACAACUUCCAAACACUCAUGACACACAAAUAGAAGUAUGGAUAAUGGCCUCCUAACUAGUCCUUAUUUAUAGCACUUUCAAAGACCGAAAUUUAAGGCAAAAACACAAAUAGAAGUAUGGAUAUAUAGGAUUGAAACAAGAGAAUUCUCCUCUAUUCUUCGGAACAGAGAUGUGCAUCGAGCUCUUUGGAGACCUCGACGGCAAACUGGAGGAGAGUCUCAGGGUGAGCCACCUCCUCGUUAAUUUUCUCGUACUCAAAGUGCCAAUGUACAACACUUCCAGGUUCUCCUUCCUUAGGGGUCACUUGUAAGGUGAUCACGAAACUUUUGUACUCGUUCAUUACAUCACCCUCUAACACCCUGUACGUGACCCUAUUGUUCUCCGGGUCUAUUGACUCGAUCCUCUCUUUCAUUACUCUUGCCUCCCCAUCUGACCACAAAUUUAUAGGUUUGAGAUUGUUAGAAAUCUUGCAUUUGAAUAAGAUUCAUAUAUGUGUAUAUAUGGAUCAAUCCAGCCAUUUCAAAUUGGUUUUGAUUCAAAAGUUAGUAUAUUUUAAUAUAGAUUCGCUAUGCUUGUAUUCAUAUAACUAGAGAAUUAUAGCGUUGACUUGCCAUGAAAGUAAUUCCAGGUUACGACAGAACCAACUUGGCCCAUUUCGCCUUCAUGCAGCUCACAGCCAUGAACGAAGGAUGGAGAUGCACUGGGGAUAUGGUGCUUUUUCCCGACAAACAUGUCAUGCAACUUCUCCGGUGAAGAUUUUAUCUCCACGGUGGUCUCAAUGAUCCCGACCAAACUAGAUGCUUCUUCCGCCAUUCUUGAUCUCCCGAUAAUUUGCAAAUGUCUCUUAGAGUUUUGAGUUUUGAGGAUGAAUGUGAUCCCUUCUUAGCUCUUUACCUCCGUUUAAAUAGAAGAACGAAUGAAGCGAGAAAUAGACUGGAAGUUAUUUUAUCACUAAUAAUUUUGAUUAGUCUUUCUUCUCUUUGAUCACGUUAACCCAUCUGACGCUAAUUGAUAAGGCAAAAUUAUUAGAUAAUUAAUAUAAAAAAAUGUAAACGCUAAAGCUAUAUAAAAUAUCAUUCGUAACUCGUGUCACAACAAAAAAAUGAUUAGUAGAAUUAGUGGGAAAGCAGUCAGUUCGUGAGCCUAAAAGAAAUAAGAUAAAAUGAUCUUGGUUUAGGGUUUCAUAAGUCAUGAACCAUAUUGGUUAACUUAAGAUAAAUGAAAUCAUUCAAAUUUUUCGAUGACACAAUUCUAUUCAGUUUUUUAUUGAUAAAUUUCUUGAAAAGUUCUUACUCCGAAAAUAAUAAGUAUUUAUAUUUCUGGAUAAUCUCUAUACCUAUAUAUACGAUCAUCCUUCUAACAAAUCCUAUAAGAUAUAUUCCGUAAAUGGAUUACACGUUGUUAUUUCAUUAUUUUUAAAAGAUAAAUAAGUAUUUAUAGGUUGAAAAAGGUGUUUAUCCGGGAGCUGCAUCUCUUUAAGUGGAACGAAAACGGAAGUUCAGAAUUUAAAAUAUCUCCCCAUUCUGAUUUAAGGUCCGGAAUUUAUUUUCAUGUGUUUGUUCACUAACCCCACAGGUCACAUAGUUUGAUUUUUGAUCAAAUAAACAUACUUAUCAAACUUCAUUACUAUAAUAAUAUCUCCUUUUGGUAUAUGAUAAAAGAUAAUGUCUACCAUGCCCCGUGUACGUGUAGACCAAGUUUUGAAAAAAUAUUUGGUAAAGUCACCAUGGAUAUUGAUUUUAAUACUAUAUACUCCUUCUGUUUUUAAAUAAGUAUCACUUUAGAGAUUAAGGAAUUUGUAUAAUUGACUAUCAUAUUCCUAUUUAAUGUUUGAUUAAUUAAAUAAAAAUGAUUUAAAUAAAAAUCUAUUGGUUAUUCAAAAAAGUAAAAACUAGAUUUAAUAUACAAAAUAACAUUGAAAUGGUAGAAUGUUGCUUUUUCUGAUGCAAAAUGAAAAAAAAUCUAAACUGACACGUAUUAUUAAAUAUAUGGAGUAUAAAUUGAGAAAAGUCUAGGGAGAAUUGGUAUUAAUCAAAUCGAAAAAUUAUUUUUGUUGCUUUUGAUGGAUCAUGUUUUAGUUUAUCUAUGGCUACUAGAGAUUUUAUUUCUUCCAUGGAGCUUAGGUAUGAUAUGAAGGUUGCAUUUGAAGCUAGUCUCAGAGGAACAAAAGUAAAGGCUCGCCUCGUGAAACUUGUGAAAGUCAAUUGAUGCAAGAGUUUUGUUUCACUUCUCCAAUAGCGUAGAUGCGUCUUUCCUCGAUCUCACCACUAUAGGUGAGGUCGAUAAGCGUCUACCCUUGUCUGAAACAGAUGCACAAUCUAUUUCUUCUCUGCACCGAAGAGAGAGCAAUGACACAUGUCUGAGUACAUACACUGAUACACAAAUAACACAACUCCCUUAAACCAUGAAAGCACAUUAUCAUAAACACACUCUUCAACUUAGAUAAAACAUAGCUUCUCUGACCUCAUGGCCGAAUAUGUCCCUUUAUUAUUUUCAAACGUACAUCAAACACUAGCAAACAUAAACUUGAAGUAGUCUUGAGGAAGCGUUACUUCUUUUACAUAUCGAUUCAAAUUAAAACUUCAAACAUAAUCCGGCCUUAAUAUUAUUCAUACACGGAUGAGUCGACACACACCAAGUCACCAACAUAUACCUCUUACCCAAACUAGGACACAGCUCAUUAUUUGUUGAAAGCUUCGAAGACACAAAGAUGCACAAACUUAACAAACACACGAAGAGUAAUCCUCUAUUAUUCUGUCAAGAGAUAUUCAUCGAUAUCUUUUGACACUUCAACACUUAACUGGAGGUGACUUUCAGGGUGUUCAACUUCUUCGCUGACUUUCUCGUACUCAAGGUCCCAGUGCACAAUAC